rfam:Monosiga brevicollis MX1 MONBRscaffold_9 genomic scaffold, whole genome shotgun sequence.
GCCAACGGUCAUACCACAUGGAAUACACCGGCUCUCGUCCGAUCGCCGCAGUUAAGCCAUGUUGGGCCAUGCUAGUACUAUCGUGGGUGACCAGAUGGGAAUACAUGGUGCUGUUGGCC